rnacentral:rRNA from 1 species
GCGCAAGACUUGAGGGAGGGACGCCGCGUGAGGGAUGAAGGUCCUCGGAUUGUAAACCUCUGAUUGAUUGACGAAAGGGCCCUGAUGGGGAGAUGACUGUAACUCGGUGAUAGCUCCGGCUAACUCCGUGCCUAGCUUCCGUGCAAUAAUACGGAGGGUGCAAGUGUUUCCCGGAAUCUCUGGGCGUAUUAGUGGCGUGUAGGCGGGAAGCUAAGUCCUACUUUAAAGACCGGGGCUCAACCCCGGGAGUGGGUUGGAGACUGGCUUGUAUGAGCCCUCUGGAGAGGUGACUUUAAUUCCGGGUGUAUUGGUGGAAUGCGUAUAUGCCAUGCGAGGAACUCCGAUGGAGAAGGCAUGUUGCUGGUACAGACUGUGACGUUUGAGUGAACGAAUGUGUGGGGAGCGAACCGGAUUAGCUCCCCGGGUAGUCCACACCCUAAACGAUGCACGUUGGCCGAGCGCGGGAUGCCGUGCUGGUUGCAGCCAACGCGAGAAGCGUGCCGCCUGGG